GCAACCUCAAGCUGGCGCACGGCAACACGGUGGUGUUCCGCUCGCUGCUGGGCAUUUCGUGGAUGUGGUUCUUCGGCGCCACCUUCCUGUCGCAGUUCCCGAGCUUCGCCAAGGAGGUGCUG
rnacentral:ncRNA from 1 species